UUUGACGUUAGCGACAGAAGAAGCACCGGCUAACUCCGUGCCAGCAGCCGCGGUAAUACGGAGGGUGCGAGCGUUAAUCGGAAUUACUGGGCGUAAAGCGCAUGCAGGUGGUUUGUUAAGUCAGAUGUGAAAGCCCGGGGCUCAACCUCGGAAUUGCAUUUGAAACUGGCAGACUAGAGUACUGUAGAGGGGGGUAGAAUUUCAGGUGUAGCGGUGAAAUGCGUAGAGAUCUGAAGGAAUACCGGU
rnacentral:rRNA from 1 species